GAAAGCCCCCGGCUCAACCGGGGAGGGUCAUUGGAAACUGGGAAACUUGAGUGCAGAAGAGGAGAGUGGAAUUCCACGUGUAGCGGUGAAAUGCGUAGAGAUGUGGAGGAACACCAGUGGCGAAGGCGACUCUCUGGUCUGUAACUGACGCUGAGGAGCGAAAGCGUGGGGAGCGAACAGGAUUAGAUACCCUGGUAGUCCACGCCGUAAACGAUGAGUGCUAAGUGUUAGGGGGUUUCCGCCCCUUAGUGCUGCAGCUAACGCAUUAAGCACUCCGCCUGGGGAGUACGGUCGCAAGACUGAAACUCAAAGGAAUUGACGGGGGCCCGCACAAGCGGUGGAGCAUGUGGUUUAAUUCGAAGCAACGCGAAGAACCUUACCAGGUCUUGACAUCCUCUGACAACCCUAGAGAUAGGGCUUUCCCUUCGGGGACAGAGUGACAGGUGGUGCAUGGUUGUCGUCAGCUCGUGUCGUGAGAUGUUGGGUUAAGUCCCGCAACGAGCGCAACCCUUGAUCUUAGUUGCCAGCAUUCAGUUGGGCACUCUAAGGUGACUGCCGGUGACAAACCGGAGGAAGGUGGGGAUGACGUCAAAUCAUCAUGCCCCUUAUGACCUGGGCUACACACGUGCUACAAUGGACAGAACAAAGGGCUGCGAGACCGCAAGGUUUAGCCAAUCCCACAAAUCUGUUCUCAGUUCGGAUCGCAGUCUGCAACUUGACUGCGUGAAGCUGGAAUCGCUAGUAAUCGCGGAUCAGCAUGCCGCUUUUUUUUGGGUUCCCGGGCCGCCGUUCACCCCUGCCCGGUCAACAACCCCACGGGG
rnacentral:rRNA from 1 species